CUAACAAGGAUUCCCCUAGUAACGGCGAGUGAAGCGGGAAGAGCUCAAAUUUGUAAUCUGGCGGUCUCCGGCCGUCCGAGUUGUAGUCUGGAGAAGCGUCUUCCGCGCCGGACCGUGUACAAGUCCCUUGGAACAGGGCGUCGUAGAGGGUGAGAAUCCCGUCUUUGACACGGACUACCGGUGCUUUGUGAUGCGCUCUCAAAGAGUCGAGUUGUUUGGGAAUGCAGCUCAAAAUGGGUGGUAAAUUCCAUCUAAAGCUAAAUAUUGGCGAAAGACCGAUAGCGAACAAGUACCGUGAGGGAAAGAUGAAAAGCACUUUGGAAAGAGAGUUAAACAGUACGUGAAAUUGUUGAAAGGGAAACGCUUGAAGUCAGUCGCGUCUUCCGGGACUCAACCUCGCUUUUGCUUGGUGCAUUUCCCGAAUGACGGGCCAGCAUCGAUUUUGACCGUUGGAGAAAGGCUUUGGGAAUGUGGCACCUUCGGUGUGUUAUAGCCCUCGGUCGUAUGCCACGGUUGGGAUCGAGGAUCGCAACACGCCUUUUUUGGCCGGGGUUCGCCCACGUAACGUGCUUARGAUGCUGGCGUAAUGGCUUUAACCGACCCGUCUU
rnacentral:rRNA from 1 species